rnacentral:rRNA from 1 species
CGAGUCCCACCUCCCACGGGAGGGAAGUGGCGUUGAUCAAGCUUCCUAGAAAAGCCCGAACCACGUUAAUCAUUAAUUGCCUGUACCCGAAACCGACACAGGUGGGGAAGUAGAGAAUACUAAGGGGCGCGAGAUAACUCUCUCUAAGGAACUCGGCAAAAUGACCCCGUAACUUCGGGAGAAGGGGUACCCUCGCAAGAGGGUCGCAGUGAAUAGGCCCAGGCGACUGUUUACCAAAAACACAGGUCUCCGCCAAGUCGUAAGACGCAGUAUGGGGGCUGACGCCUGCCCAGUGCCGGAAGGUUAAGGAAGUUGGUCAGGAGUAAUCUGAAGCUGACGACCGAAGCCCCGGUGAACGGCGGCCGUAACUAUAACGGUCCUAAGGUAGCGAAAUUCCUUGUCGGGUAAGUUCCGACCCGCACGAAAGGCGUAACGAUCUGGGCACUGUCUCGGAGAGAGACUCGGCGAAAUAGGAUUGUCUGUGAAGAUACGGACUACCUGCACCUGGACAGAAAGACCCUAUGAAGCUUUACUGUAGCCUGGAAUUGGCUUCGGGCUUCGCUUGCGCAGGAUAGGUGGGAAGCGUUGAAACUCUCCUCGUGGGGAGAGUGGAGCUAACGGUGAGAUACCACUCUGGCGAGGCUAGAAUUCUAACCCUGACCCCUGAUCGGGGCGGGAGACAGUUUCAGGUGGGCAGUUUGACUGGGGCGGUCGCCUCCUAAAAGGUAACGGAGGCGCGCAAAGGUUCCCUCGGUCCCGUUGGAAAUGGGACGAUAGAGUGCAAAAGCAGAAGGGAGCUUGACUGUGAGACCUACAAGUCGAACAGGGACGAAAGUCGACUUUAGUGAUCCGACGGCACCGCGUGGAAGGGCCGUCGCUCAACGGAUAAAAGUUACUCUAGGAUAACAGGCUGAUCUCCCCCAAGAGUUCACAUCGACGGGGGGGUUUGGCACCUCGAUGUCGGCUCAUCGCAACCUGGGGCUGAAGUCGGUCCCAAGGGUUGGGCUGUUCGCCCAUUGAAGCGGUACGUGAGCUGGGUUCAGAACGUCGUGAGACAGUUCGGUCCAUAUCCGGUGUAGGCGUAAGAGCAUUGCGAGGAGCCUUCCUUAGUACGAGAGGACCGGGAAGGACGCACCGCUGGUGUACCUGUUAUCGUGCCAACGGUAAACGCAGGGUAGCCAUGUGCGGAGCGGAUAACCGCUGAAAGCAUCUAAGUGGGAAGCCCACCUCCAGAUGAUUGCUCUCAUGGCAUUAGCCAGUAAGGUCUCGGGUAGACUACCCGUUGAUAGGCUCUAGAUGGAAGCUCGGUAACGAGUGCAGUCGAGGAGUACUAACCGACCGAGGGCUUGACC